AAAGUGAAAGUAGGUCAUUUAAUUACAAUUUUGACCUUCAGCAGUACAACAACAGUCUUACAAAUUAUGAUUCACUUGUUAAGUCUAAUAUGCCUUUCGGCUUAAGAAAUACCUGCACAAAAUGCCCCAAGGCUUCAACACGCAGUUCACAAUGCAUUUUGACUCAAACAGAUAUAACCUCUAAUCUUCAUCGAUAUUGAAGAAAAUCAAAAUAAAAUGCAAACAUAAAUAUUAAAUAAGCCAUGCCUAAGACGUGGAAGACAGAAGAAGGGAAAAACAAAAGGAAAUAAUAAAGAGAGGAAGAAAAGAAAAAUAAAAGGAAGAAAAACAAAGAAUGAAAAAACUGAAAGGAAGAAAAAGCAAUGGAAUUGCAAAGAGAAGUGACGUAAAAUGUAAACAAAAAACAGCAGAUUGAGGGUUGAUAAAAAUGUUCGGAAAAACAGCUGAUUGAGGAUUGAUAAAAAAUGUUUGGAGAAAAGAUAUUUAGAAUUCUUAUAAUUAACUGAUUUUGUGCAACCAAAAUGCAAUAAAUUAGUUACAAGAUCAGGUAUCCAUUCAUGCUCUGCCCUUGCAUCACUAACCUUCCUUCAAGAAUUAUCUUCUAUAGUGAUUAACUUUUUACAGAAAAUAAUAUGAAGUUUUCUGUACUAGAACAGAAAGACAUUAUCCAAACAAGAUUUUCUAGUUAAUAUGGAGGAAGCCUGAUACUGUAGAAGACAGAAGUUUUGUGCCUGAGAUACCAGUCUUUAACUGUGGAGAUAUUGAAGUGCCUACGAUAGGACAAACCAGUGAUGACUUUCAAGACAUUUCGUCAGAACAGACUGUUCUGCGUAUACCAAGCACUACGGGACAACAGUGAGAGAUGUGUGUUGGGAUGUUUGAGUGUGAGAGAACCAAAAAAACUGUACUCAGUUACUGUGCCAGGUGCCAUAUAAUCUAAUUAAGGAAACAUGCUGCAGUCCAAGAGGCACCAAAGACAGUCACCAUAGAAACACAAACAGAGGUGCCUUACAUCCAUAUUGAAAAGCAUGGACAUGAAUUAAAUUCCAGAUUUAACAGUAGUGUGAAUGAAAGUUAUUCAAAGGAGGAUUUGGACUGGCAUCCAGAUGAAAGUUUUGCUAGUGACAUUGCAGAUAAAGAGAUAGAAGAAUAACCAUUGAAUGAAUGUACAGAGAGAAAAUUUAUUGUUUUCGAAAAACAGUUGGACAAAUUGUGUGAAAUGUGUAAUUUAUGUGGGAGUAGACUUGUGAUUAGGAAGAGAACAAAACAUCAGUGCAAAAUUCUUGUUGCUAUGGCAACCAAAACAAAAGUAGAAAACAACAAGUAGAAAACCACUACGCCUUGGAGGGAAUGUCAGAUGUGAUUUACCAGGUCACACUGUAAAGUAUGGAUCAUACUGUCUGAUUGAUUUCGAAUGAAAUAUGAUUCUGGAUUGCCAGUUAUUUCAAAGUAAUGAGGUAAAGAAUUCUUACUGGAUGGAGACGGAAGGUUUGAAGCCUUGUUUACACUUUAUCAAUGUCUGAACAUUUCCCACCUUGUAACAGAUAGACAUGUCUAUGUCCAGUUGAAAAAGUAUAUGAAAGAGCAACAACCAAAAAUUACUUACUGGUUUGAUGUCUGGCAUGUUGCUAAAGAAUUCUGGGAUUUCAAAGGUCACAAGUACAAACUGCACUAAGAAAUGGGAUGAUGGUUGAGAAUGGACUUGUGAGUGUGUUGAUGACAAGAUAGGUCACCGUGGCCCAGUAGUUAAGGCGUCCACCUCGGGAUCAGGAGGUUGAAGGUUCAAGCCCCAUGGGGAGCAUUCGUGUGGGAGAUGUUUGUCAGUCAUGGGACUCAUUCCAAAAAGGCCUGUACGUGCGCUGUGAGCUAGUUAAAUGAAUGGUUACUUACUUCUAUCCGCCUGGCGCCUGGCAUAGAGAUGCCCACCAUGUAUGAACUUGCCAUCAGACUGGCGGCUGGUAAAAGAUGCUGCCAAACCCUGCUGUAAAAUCCCGACCUGUAGCCCCACACCAUCUCCCCUAACAACAAAGGGACCAGGACUUCUGCCCAUGACUACAGUACCAACACAGAGACCACAAAGUAAUGCAUUGGCAAACAUUCCUAUGAUAUUGUAAUUAAAAUCAUUCCAGAACUACUUUCUUAUAAACAUUAAUUGUAAUUACAAAAUUGGUAAAACUUUUCGAAUUGGCAAUGAGAUAAUAUUAUUAUAAAAGUCAUGUUUACUUACAAAAUAGUAUCUUCAGUUGUUUCAGAAGUGUGUUUACAUGCGUAAUGACAAGAGUAUGUUUCUCAUUUAGUCAAUUGAACAUAUAGUCAAGAUUGACAUAUUAUGAUGUAAUAAGAAAUAUCGGCCUUUUUCAUCCCCUGCCACAAGUGUUGGGGGGGGAUUAUAGGAAUGGUCUCCAUCCGUCCUGCUGUCCGUCCGUUCGUCCGUAACACUUUCAUGUCCGCUUCAUAUCUUCUAAACCCCUUGAAGGAUUUUCAUGAAACUUGGGUCAAAUGAUCACCUCAAAAUGAUGUUCAGAACUCACGAGUCAGCCAUGUUGACUCAAGGUCAAAGUCACAGCUCAAGGUCAUAGGUUUUAGCCUUCCAUUUCGUGUCCGCCCUGUAUCUCCUAAAUCCCUUUAAGGAAUUUUAUAAAACUUGGGUCAUAUGGUUGCCUCAUUAUGACAAUGUGCAGAGCUUAUGAGUCAGCUGUGGUGGCCCAAGAUUAAGGUCACAACCUAGGGUCAAAGGUUUGAGCCUUCUAUUUUGCUCUGUAUCUCCUUAACCCCUUGAAGGAUUUUCAUGAAACUUGGGUCAAAUGAUUACCUUAUCAAGAUGAUGUGCAGAACUCAUGCAUCAGCCAUGUUGGCUCAAGGUCAAGGUCACAGCUCAAAGUCAUAGGUUUUAGUCUUCCAUUUCGUGUUUGCUCUGUGGCUCCUAAAUCCCUUUAAGGAAUUUUAUAAAACUUUGGUCAGAUGAUUGCCUCAUCAAGACAAUGUGCAGAGCUUAUGAGUCAGCUGUGGUGGCACAAGGUCAAGGUCACAACCUAGGGUCAAAGGUUUGAGCCUUCCAUUUUGCUCUGUAUCUCCUAAACCCCUUGAAGGAUUUCAUGAAAUUUUGGGUCAAAUGAUUACCUACCUUAUCAAGACGAUGUGCAGAACUCAUGAGUCAGCCAUAUUGGUCACAACUCGGGGUCAAAGGUUUGAGCCAUCCAUUUUGUGUCUGCUCUGUAUUUCCUAAUCCCAUUGAAGGAUUCAUAUGAAACCUGGGUCAAACAAUCACCCCAUCAAAACGAUGUGCAGAACUCAUCA